UACGUAGGGUGCAAGCGUUAUCCGGAAUUAUUGGGCGUAAAGAGCUCGUAGGCGGUUUGUCGCGUCUGCUGUGAAAACUGGGGGCUCAACCCCCAGCCUGCAGUGGGUACGGGCAGACUAGAGUGCGGUAGGGGAGAUUGGAAUUCCUGGUGUAGCGGUGGAAUGCGCAGAUAUCAGGAGGAACACCGAUGGCGAAGGCAGAUCUCUGGGCCGUAACUGACGCUGAGGAGCGAAAGCGUGGGGAGCGAACAGG
rnacentral:rRNA from 1 species